rnacentral:rRNA from 1 species
GUAGGUGGGCAAGCGUUGUCCGGAAUUAUUGGGCGUAAAGCGCGCGCAGGGCGGUCCUUUAAGUCUGAUGUGAAAGCCCACGGCUCAACCGUGGAGGGUCAUUGGAAACUGGGGGACUUGAGUACAGAAGAGGAAAGCGGAAUUCCAAGUGUAGCGGUGAAAUGCGUAGAGAUUUGGAGGAACACCAGUGGCGAAGGCGGCUUUCUGGUCUGUAACUGACGCUGAGGCGCGAAAGCGUGGGGAGCAAACAGGAUUAGGUACCCUGGUAGUCCACGCCGUAAACGAUGAGUGCUAAGUGUUAGGGGGUUUCCGCCCCUUAGUGCUGCAGCUAACGCAUUAAGCACUCCGCCUGGGGAGUACGGCCGCAAAGGCUG